rnacentral:rRNA from 1 species
ACGGAAGGCAGCAGUCGGGAAUAUUGCGCAAUGGAGGAAACUCUGACGCAGUGACGCCGCGUAUAGGAAGAGGGUUUUCGGAUUGUAAACUAUUGUCGAUAGGGAAGGAAAGGACAGUACCUAUCAAGAAAGCUCCGGCUAACUACGUGCCAGCAGCCGCGGUAAUACGUAGGGAGCAAGCGUUAUCCGGAUUUAUUGGGUGUAAAGGGUGCGUAGACGGGAAAUUAAGUUAGUUGUGAAAUCCCGCGGCUUAACUGAGGAACUGCAACUAAAACUGGGUUUCUUGAGUGCAGGAGAGGAAAGUGGAAUUCCUAGUGUAGCGGUGAAAUGCGUAGAUAUUAGGAGGAACACCGGUGGCGAAGGCGACUUUCUGGACUGUAACUGACGUUGAGGCACGAAAGUGUGGGGAGCAAACAGGAUUAGAUACCCUGGUA